GGCACCCAAGAUGCUCUCAACAUAGGUAAUUAAUUUGGAGUCUUAAUUAAAAUCAACUUGGUUAAUAUUUUAGGUUAUUAGACUGUAUUAAUUUGUAAAAUGCCACACCUUUGCGUUUUCAAGUUUGAAUUUGAGUUGUUUUUUCAUAUGGAAAAGUAAACAAGAUAUCUGCAAUACAAUUCUUAGUUCAUGGUGGCUUUACAUCAUCACUGUGCCACAUUUCUUUUAAACAUACUAAAGUUUAAUCUUCUGAUUAUUUUGUGUAUGAGGAGGUGGUCAUCACUUGCAAUUUCAGGUCAACUUAAUUUAAUAAUGCAAUGAAUGCAAUAUUCUUGUUCUUUAAACAGCAUCAGCGUUGGACCCGCGAUUUAAAGAACUGCCCUACCUGGAAAAAGAGGACAGAGAACAGGUCUACACAAAACUGGUUUUUGAGGCAGAAGUGUCCCACCAGAUGCAAGCAAUGGGAAAUCAGGAGGAAGACGAGGGAAGCUCAAGCACAAAGCUGUCAGGAUUCAAUGAAGAGACCACAGCUCCAAAUGAGUCACCUCCUUGUAAGAAGAAAGCCUUAGAUGCGCUGUUUGGCGAUUCCUUCACCCAAAGAGAAAGAAAAUCCACAAGCGAGACAGCCAGAGCAGAGGUGUUAAAGUACCGAGCAAAAGAUGCGUUGCCUUUGACUGAAAAUGCCAUGAAGUGGUGGAGAUCUCAGGAGAAAGAGCUACCUGUACUUUCCACCCUUGCUAAACGGUA